AAUCAACGCUGGCGGCGUGCCUCAGACAUGCAAGUCGAACGAUUAAAGCUCCCUUCGGGGAGUGCAUAAAGUGGCGCACGGGUGAGUAACACGUAAGUAAUCUACCCUCGAGUGGGGAAUAACGUCCGGAAACGGACGCUGAUACCGCAUAAUGCAGAGGCACCGCAAGGUGACAGUUGUUAAAGAUUUAUCGCUUGAGGAGGAGCUUGCGGCAGAUUAGCUAGUUGGUAAGGUAAUGGCUUACCAAGGCCGCGAUCUGUAACCGGUCUAAGAGGACGGUCGGUCACACUGACACUGAAUAACGGGUCAGACUCCUACGGGAGGCAGCAGUCGGGAAUUUUGGGCAAUGGGCGAAAGCCUGACCCAGCAACGCCGCGUGAAGGAUGAAGUAUUUCGGUAUGUAAACUUCGAAAGAAUGGGAAGAAUAAAUGACGGUACCAUUUAUAAGCUCCGGCUAACUACGUGCCAGCAGCCGCCGUAAAAC
rnacentral:rRNA from 1 species